UAUAUCUGCUCUGGCCAAGGUGUCGGCCGCAAGGUCUUUACUUCUUGGAUGGUAUCUCUCCUUCUGGAGAGCCAUAAUGCCAUUUAUUUGGCGUAAUGGCGAUCCGGGAAUUUUACCUUGAAAAAAUUAGAGUGUUUAAUGCACGCAUACGCAUGAAUACAUUUGCAUGGAAUAAUAGAUUACGACUUUGGUUCUAUUUUGUUGGUUUCUGGGACCGAAGUAAUGAUUAAUAGGGAA
rnacentral:rRNA from 1 species